GUGGGGAAUAUUGGGCAAUGGGCGCAAGCCUGACCCAGCAACGCCGCGUGAAGGAAGAAGGCUUUCGGGUUGUAAACUUCUUUUACCAGGGACGAAACAAAUGACGGUACCUGGUGAAUAAGCCACGGCUAACUACGUGCCAGCAGCCGCGGUAAUACGUAGGUGGCGAGCGUUAUCCGGAUUUAUUGGGUGUAAAGGGCGUGUAGGCGGGACAGCAAGUCAGAUGUGAAAACCAGAGGCUCAACCUCUUGCCUGCAUUUGAAACUGUUGUUCUUGAGUGUCGGAGAGGUAAUCGGAAUUCCGUGUGUAGCGGUGAAAUGCGUAGAUAUACGGAGGAACACCAGUGGCGAAGGCGGAUUACUGGACGAUAACUGACGCUGAGGCGCGAAAGCGUGGGGAGCAAACAGGAUUAGAAACCCGGGUAGUCC
rnacentral:rRNA from 1 species